CCUACGGGAGGCAGCAGUGAGGAAUAUUGGUCAAUGGGCUUACGCCUGAACCAGCCAAGUCGCGUGAGGGAAGACUGCCCUAUGGGUUGUAAACCUCUUUUGUCAGGGAGCAACGCCGGCUACGUGUAGCCGGACUGAGAGUACCUGAAGAAAAAGCAUCGGCUAACUCCGUGCCAGCAGCCGCGGUAAUACGGAGGAUGCGAGCGUUAUCCGAAUUUAUGGGGUUUAAAGGGUGCGUAGGCGGAAUGCCAAGUCAGCGGUAAAAUCGCGGGGCUCAACCUCGCUCCGCCGUUGAAACUGGCGUUCUUGGGUGGGCGAGAGGUAUGCGGAAGGGGGGGUGUAGCGGUGAAAUGCAUGGAUAUCACGCAGAACUCCGAUUGCGAAGGCAGCAUACCGGCGCCCAACUGACGCUGAAGCACGAAAGCGUGGGUAUCGAACAGGAUUAGAUACCCGGGUAGU
rnacentral:rRNA from 1 species